rnacentral:rRNA from 1 species
GAUGAACGCUAGCGGCAGGCUUAACACAUGCAAGUCGAGGGGUAACAGGGAGUGCUUGCACUCCGCUGACGACCGGCGCACGGGUGCGUAACGCGUAUGCAACCUACCUUUUACAGGGGGAUAGUCAAUAGAAAUGUUGAAUAAUACCCCAUACGAUCUUUGAGGAGCAUUUCUUAGAGAGGAAAACUACGGUGGUAAAAGAUGGGCAUGCGUCCUAUUAGCUAGAUGGUAAGGUAACGGCUUACCAUGGCGACGAUAGGUAGGGGUCCUGAGAGGGAGAUCCCCCACACUGGUACUGAGACACGGACCAGACUCCUACGGGAGGCAGCAGUGAGGAAUAUUGGACAAUGGAGGCAACUCUGAUCCAGCCAUGCCGCGUGCAGGAAGACGGCCCUACGGGUUGUAAACUGCUUUUAUACAGGAAGAAACCUAUCUACGUGUAGAUAGCUGACGGUACUGUACGAAUAAGGAUCGGCUAACUCCG